UAAGUAGGACAAAUGAUCGCGGCUGCUUUACGCAGGUGAGGAAAGUCCGGGCUUCAUAGGGCAGGGUGCCGGAUAACGUCCGGUGGAGGUGACUCCAAGGCCAGUGCAACAGAGAUAUACCGCCUGUUUUACAGGUAAGGGUGGAAAGGCAGUGUAAGAGACUACCGUCCGCAUGGUAACAUGCGGAGCCAUGUAAACCCCACUCGAAGCAAGACCAAACUUCCCGAAAGGGAUGGGACGAGCAUGGAUUUGCCCGAUUCUUCGUCCAGGUAGGUCGCUUGAGGCUGCCGGCAACGGCAGUCCUAGAUAGAUGAUCAUUCAACGACAUAACCCGGCUUAUCGUCCUGCUUACCAU
rnacentral:RNase_P_RNA from 1 species